UUGUAGCCAUUCUCGAUAGUCUA
rnacentral:siRNA from 1 species